AGGUAGAGCAUCUAUCUAGCUACCCCUCUAGUCCAACAUAGGCUCAAAUUUUUCCAGCAAAUACAUUUUUUUACUCAUGAUUUAAUCCCCAAAUGAGUAAAUUGAAUUUAAACUAGUUUCCUGACAAUACCUGUACCCCUAGUGUAACUUUGAUCGACAUCAUAACGUGACUAACGCGUUUGCGUUAAGUCUCAUUUUGUAUAGGAUUUUGAGUUUCCAAAACGUCCCGCUUGGCGCGCUCUUUCGAAAUCCAAUACAAAAUGAGACUAAACGCAAACGCGUACGUCACGUUUGGAAAUCGAAUUUAUUUACACUAGGGGUACUGAUUA